rnacentral:pre_miRNA from 1 species
CUUGCCAAUGUCUUGUUUUCUGAUUAAAAUUUAACUCACAAACAUCACAUUUGUAAGGUU